AUUUGCACUAAAAGGCAUUUCUAACACAAUGUUGAUGUCUUCUAGAAGCACAAUCCAUAGGUCUGGAGCCUGGGUAUCCUGGUCUAUCUCCCCAGCAGAGGGCAGCACAAAGUCUACCUUCUUCAUCUUCCAUAUUAAUCUGCAAAUCCCUCUCUACGUUGUUAUCCUUUCUGGGGUCGGACUCAGGGAAAACACCAUCAUCUUCAUCUUCAUCAGUGUCCUCUUCACUCCACUGGACCCUAGCUGCGGUGUCUCGGGCCCUCUGCUUCAGAGCUGCUCUUGCAGUAAGCAAAAACUUUUCCUCCUUAUCCCUGGAGAUGAGAGAUGGCUCCACAGUCAUCCACCAUACCUUCAGAGCCUCAAAGACGCCCCUGGGUCAGCACACCAUCUUCCCCAGUCUUCCUCCUCGUCCCCAUCACUGUUCUGAAUUGGUGCUGGACACUUCUUACCUCGAGCCUGAGCAGCUACUGUGAAUAACUCUUCAAGCAAUGUUUUGACCCCAGGAGACUUAUUUGGUUUAGAGACUUCACGAGACCCUGCCCUCUUCUUGGCUGCUCUGUUUCAGGCACUACUUCACAGCCUUUUGAAAUUCUCAUCACUAGCUGCAGGCAAAAAUCUGAGCAGUUUGGUCUCUUCACCUUUCUGGUUUUGGGCCUUUUGGCCUGACCCAUGUGUCUCCUUCUUCCUAGGAUUUAACUUGUGCCCAGUGUUAACUGAAGGCUCAGCUUGCCUGGACCUGGUUGAGGCAGACCCAGUACCUCCAGCCAAGGCCUGUGCCACGUGGUCUUGAGGAAGAGCUGGGAUUACAUUCUUUAGUAUUAUAAUCAGCGCCCUUGAGACAAAUUUAAGCUGGUCUUAUUAUUUUAAGGAAAACUACAUAGGACAUAUGUUCUCUGUGGAAGUGAUAUUAUGUCAGUCACAUAUGAUAAGUGCCAAACAAUCAAAGUCACAGUUUCCAGUGAUAGGGCUCACUUUAAAGCUAAAGGUUGACAUGAAAAAUAUACAAGGAAAACACCAAUGUUGUUAAUCUGGAGUGCCUCACUUACUUAUUUUUAUUAAACUUAGGAGUAGCAUAUGAAUAGGUUGUGUGUUGAAGCAUGACACUUCUGUGGUCCUUUUCAACAAUUCUGAUGGAAUGUGUCUCUAUGAACGCUUUCAAAUCCCAUCUAGCUCAUCAUUUAAUCAUCUAUAUGUUGUUGAAAAAGUACAAGGUUGUCAUGACAACUAGAGAGAUAAUUUAGUCAACAUAACUCAUUCCACAUAACAUAACACUUUGCCUUUGUUCAAAUAUAUUUCUAUAAAUAUUCAUAUUCAGCAUUUUAAUAGUAUGCUUUAUAUUAGAAUGUGUGGACCCCAGAAUUAAAUAAGACCUCUCAGUUCCUGACACUAUUGUCAUGUGCCAUUAUUCUUCUCUAGCUGAAGUCACAACCUUGGUCAUUGAAGGUAUUAUCCAUACCCCCCAGGCUUAAAUUAAGCUCUUGGGGAAUUCUUUCCUGACAUAGAGUUUGGUGAGCAUAAAAAUUAGGUUAAUCCUACAAAAAAAAAAAAGGGUUCAGAGGAAAGAAUUCAACAUCAAAGUGGAGCACAUCAUUCAAUUUACAAGACCUAUAGUGGGCAGACAUUGGAACUGGAAAAAGGGAUGAAAGUCAGGAAUACUUUGCGGGAGUAAGGAGGAUCAUAGCUAGUAUCUAGUUAUGAAACUAUUAACACACUGGAAAUUAUUUCUUUAUAAUUUUUACUUCUUUCCUAGUGAGAAAAAUAAGAUGUUCAUUCAUAUGAAUAAAUAUGUAACUAUAUCAAUAAAGUCAUAAGCA
rnacentral:lncRNA from 1 species